AACGAACGCUGGCGGCAGGCCUAACACACGCAAGUCGAACGCACCGCAAGGUGAGUGGCGCACGGGUGAGUAACACGUGGGAAUGUAUCCUUUGGUUCGGAAUAACGUCUGGAAACGGACGCUAAUACCGGAUGAGCCCUUAGGGGGAAAGAUUUAUCGCCGAAGGAGCAGCCCGCGUCUGAUUAGGUAGUUGGUGGGGUAAAGGCCUACCAAGCCGACGAUCAGUAGCUGGUCUGAGAGGAUGAUCAGCCACACUGGGACUGAGACACGGCCCAGACUCCUACGGGAGGCAGCAGUGGGGAAUAUUGGACAAUGGGCGCAAGCCUGAUCCAGCCAUGCCGCGUGAGUGAUGAAGGCCUUCGGGUUGUAAAGCUCUUUCGCACACGACGAUGAUGACGGUAGUGUGAGAAGAAGCCCCGGCUAACUUCGUGCCAGCCGCCGCCGGAACAC
rnacentral:rRNA from 1 species